rnacentral:rRNA from 1 species
UACGUAGGGUGCAAGCGUUAAUCGGAAUUACUGGGCGUAAAGCGUGCGCAGGCGGUUAUGCAAGACAGAUGUGAAAUCCCCGGGCUCAACCUGGGAACCGCAUUUGUGACUGCAUGGCUAGAGUACGGUAGAGGGGGAUGGAAUUCCGCGUGUAGCAGUGAAAUGCGUAGAUAUGCGGAGGAACACCGAUGGCGAAGGCAAUCCCCUGGACCUGUACUGACGCUCAUGCACGAAAGCGUGGGGAGCAAACAGG